rnacentral:rRNA from 1 species
CAGUCGCCGCGGGAAUACGUAGGUGGCAAGCGUUGUCCGGAAUUAUUGGGCGUAAAGGGCCCGCAGGCGGUUUCUUAAGUCUGAUGUGAAAGCCCCCGGCUCAACCGGGGAGGGUCAUUGGAAACUGGGAAACUUGAGUGCAGAAGAGGAGAGUGGAAUUCCACGUGUAGCGGUGAAAUGCGUAGAGAUGUGGAGGAACACCAGUGGCGAAGGCGACUCUCUGGUCUGUAACUGACGCUGAGGAGCGAAAGCGUGGGGAGCGAACAGGAUUAGAUACCCGCGUAGUCCCUGUCUCUUAUAC